rnacentral:rRNA from 1 species
UACCAGCAUCCCGAGUGGUCGGGACGUUUAUUGGGCCUAAAGCAUCCGUAGCCGGUUCUACAAGUCUUCCGUUAAAUCCACCUGCUUAACAGAUGGGCUGCGGAAGAUACUAUGGAGCUAGGAGGCGGGAGAGGCAAGCGGUACUCGAUGGGUAGGGGUAAAAUCCGUUGAUCCAUUGAAGACCACCAGUGGCGAAGGCGGCUUGCCAGAACGCGCUCGACGGUGAGGGAUGAAAGCUGGGGGAGCAAACCGG